ensembl:lncRNA
CAGUAACCCAUGGGUAUCAGCGCCCCAUCCCGGAGGGAUGCUUGGAGCUCCCUCACAGGGCACUGGCAAACAUCCGUCCAGCACAUCGCUGCCUGUGGGUCCCUGAACUCUCCCACAAAGAGCAGUUUCCCAGGGAAACAAGAAAAGAAGCAGACCAAAGGAACGUGAGCAUCCUGCUUCCUUCCGCCACCAGAACGACGCCUCAUUCUGCUCUUUCACUCUCCUAACACUGUCACCCACUAAUUGGCAUCAGGCCUCAACACGGUGACGAUUUGCUCUCUUUCAUGCAUUUGUUCCAUUCCUCCUGCAUGUUGUUGUCUCCAACCCCUGUCUGUAUCCCCGCUCGUCCCUCUCUGUCUCAAUUGCACAGGGGAGAUGGAGAAGGUGCCCAAUGCCAGGUCAGGGCCGGCGGUGCUGUAGUGACAGAACACCGAGCGCAGAGAGAGCCAAAGUCUUCCUGUAAAAGGGCCAUGACAAAUGCAGGACGUGCUGCAGCUGCUGCUCAUUGCCUGUGUCCUGCUUAUGGAUCUGAUCAUUAUUUUAACGAGCUGCAGCAUCUCACAGAGCGCAGCGCAGAGAAAAUUAUAUUAAACCACUGUGAAAAGAAAUCAUUUAUUUCCGUAAUGUCUGUGUUUUGGAUUGCAGGGGGAAAAAAAAAGACUCCAGCAAUGCGACUUUUCCUGCCGAGCCACAACGUGGCAGGCUGCUCGUUAGCUUAGAUCAUUGCUGCUCAAAAUGUAAUCAUCUCUAAAAACGAUUAAAACCAAGAGCCUCGCCAACAAAAUGCAUGGAGGCCAACGUGGCAAAGGGCCUCGCGCUUCCAGCAACUGGCCUUCACCGUGGCCUGUGCUCUGUCCACCUGCAGACCUCGAUAGCUUUGGGGCUGGAGGUAUAGGUGCCCCACAGCAGGGCCGGGAGGUGCCGCUCCCUUGCAGGGCUCAUUAGCAGAGCCCUAUGCCACACAGCCAGUGCAUGAACCCAGAUGGGAAAUGAGCAUGAAAUCUGAUUGCAAGGUUUGGCAGAGCUGAUGGGCCUGGGCAGCUGGAACGGCUGCACCUCGAAGGAAGCCGGGCGAGUGCUGCUGGGCUCUUCCAAGCAUUGUUAAAUAAUCAUCUAUAGCCAAUGAUUAUUCAUGAGCACAAUGAAGAUUAUC